UGCUAAGACUGGAUAGGAAAUUAAGAGGCAUCUUUUAAUUUUUAAAAGACCUUUUUCGAAAGGUAUACUUAAAGAGGGGCUUGCGCCACAUUAGUUAGUUGGUAAGGUAAAGGCUUACCAAGACGAUGAUGUGUAGCUGGACUGAGAGGUCGAACAGCCACAUUGGGACUGAGACACGGCCCAAACUCCUACGGGAGGCAGCAGUAAGGAAUUUUUGGCAAUGGAGGAAACUCUGACCGAGCGACGUCGCGUGAACAAUGAAGUACUUCGGUAUGUAAAGUUCUUUUAUUGAAAAAGAAAAAAUAGUGGAAAAACUAUCUUGACAUUAUUCAAUGAAUAAGCCCGGCUAAUUAUGUGCCAGCAGCCGCGGUAAUACAUAAGGGGCGAGCGUUAUCCGGAAUUAUUGGGCGUAAAGGGUGCGUAGGCGGUUUGAUAAGUCUAUAGUUUAAAUGCAGUGCUUAACGCUGUAGCGCUAUAGAAACUGUCUGACUAGAGUUAGAUAGAGGCAAGCGGAAUUCCAUGUGUAGCGGUAAAAUGCGUAAAUAUAUGGAGGAACACCAGAGGCGUAGGCGGCUUGCUGGGUCUUAACUGACGCUGAGGCACGAAAGCGUGGGAGCAAACAGGAUUAGGUACCCUGGUAGUCCACGCCGUAAACGAUGAGUACUAAGUGUCGGGUUUCGGCUCGGUACUGAAGUUAACACAUUAAGUACUCCGCCUGAGUAGUACGUACGCAAGUAUGAAACUUAAAGGAAUUGACGGGACCCCGCACAAGCGGUGGAUCAUGUUGUUUAAUUCGAAGAUACACGAAAAACCUUACCAGGUCUUGACAUAAUUUUGCGACAUUAUAGAAAUAUAAUGAAGGUUAUCAGAAUUACAGGUGGUGCAUGGUUGUCGUCAGCUCGUGUCGUGAGAUGUUAGGUUAAGUCCUAAAACGAGCGCAACCCUUGUCGUUAGUUGCGACCACGUAAUGGUGAGCACUUUAGCGAGACUGCCAAUGAAAAAUUGGAGGAAGGUGAGGAUUACGUCAAAUCAUCAUGCCCCUUAUGAUCUGGGCUACAAACGUGAUACAAUGGCUGUUACAAAGAGUAGCUACAACGUGAGUUUUUAGCCAAUCUCAAAAAAACAGUCUCAGUUCGGAUUGAAGUCUGCAACUCGACUUCAUGAAGUUGGAAUCGCUAGUAAUCGCGAAUCAGCAUGUCGCGGUGAAUACGUUCUCGGGGUUUGUACACACCGCCCGUCAAA
rnacentral:rRNA from 1 species